GUCGUUGUAGCUCAAUGGACAGAGCUUCUGACCGGCAAUCAGAAGGUCCGUGGUUCGAUUCCCGGCAAUGGAA